rnacentral:tRNA from 1 species
AGGGGCGUAAGCUCAACGGUUAAACUGCCGGUCUCGGUUAAACUGCCGGUCUCCAAAACCGGACUUGGGGGUUCGAAUCCCUCCGCCCCUGCCA